UGCCACCUCCUUUUUGCAUGCUAAAAGGUUCGGGACUUUUUCCAAGUUGUAUACAAAUUUCACAAUGCACAUUAAUUCGUGUUGGAUCAUCCGUCGGGUGUCUCGAAAAAUAAUUCCAUACAUGUGACUUUAAAUUCUUUUUACGAGCCGCGCCACUGCCACUAGCACCGCUCCCGCUAGCACCCCCACUGCCACCUAAAUUACAAAAAAUGAACAUUAAUUAGAAACUUAAUAAAAUUAAAUAUAAAACUAACGAUUAUUACAAUUUUAAUAUAAUGAAAAAAUGAAAUCAAAUUAAAGUAACAGUUUUCAAAUUUCAAAAAGUAACAGUUUAUAAAUUUCAAAAACUAACAGUUUAUUCAAAAUCGUGUAAAAACUAAUAUAUAAUUAAAAUGAAAUCAAAUUAAAGUAUAAUUUAAAUUUGAAAACUAAAAUAAAUUAAAACAAAAUCGAAUUAAAAUGAAAAAAAUCGAACAUACCUUCGCCGCCGUCAUUGCCGGUUGCCUGACCGGGUGCGAGUGGAGGUCGUCGGGGCGGCGCCAUGAUCGGACUUUGAGUGGAAUCUUGAGAGGAUAUUGUACCUCGACCUUCCAUAAUUAACAACAGAAAAUAUUAACUGAAAAUAUUAAAACCACGCCGGAAAAGCUUGAAUUGAGGCCGGAAAAACUUGAGCAGCUUGCUUGAAUUCAGACUUGAAGUAAGAGUAUUUAUAAGCUUGAGAGAGUGGAAUUUAGAAUGAGAUGGAGUAACUCGAGUAAGACAGAGACAGUGAGGUGACUGAGCUGGGAGCCUGGGACGGUAUUUAUAAGGAAGCCUCCAACGGCUCCUUCGGUGUCUCCAACGGCAUUGUAGCCGUUUGUUUGCCCGUGCCAGUAAGCUCAGAGGCAGCAGAGGACUCCACAGCAGCCUUGUUGAAGAGUUGCAGGUGAAAGAGUUGCAGGUGAACGUUGGAUACACAGGCACAACGGCUCGUUUUUUUCCCGGUUAAACGGGUUUCACGGGCUCCAACGGUUCCUACGGUUUCGGUUUAAACGGGCUUCGCGGGUUCAGCGGUUCAACACGGUUCAAGCGGUUUAAACGGGUCGCGGGUUCAGCGGUUCACCUAAAAGCCGGAUUUAUUGAAUUUCUCAUCAUGUGUUCUAAGUUAGGGCUUUCACCAUGUGAAAAAGGUAACUCAUCUAAUGUAACAUAAGUAGCAAAAUCAUUAAUCAUUUUUUCUCUAUUAUAAUGGAACGGCAUACCUCCACCGGGAUUUGAAGACAUGAAACUACCGAUUUGUGUUUGUUGUGAAGACGAUCCCCCGCGUGCUUCUCCACUUUCGUGGCUUGCUUUCGUAAUAUUAUGCUUUUUCACUAAGUGACGAUUAAGAGUACCCGUGCCACCUCCUUUUUGCAUGCUAAAAGGUUCGGGACUUUUUCCAAGUUGUAUACAAAUUUCACAAUGCACAUUAAUUCGUGUUGGAUCAUCCGUCGGGUGUCUCGAAAAAUAAUUCCAUACAUGUGACUUUAAAUUCUUUUUACGAGCCGCGCCACUGCCACUAGCACCGCUCCCGCUAGCACCCCCACUGCCACCUAAAUUACAAAAAAUGAACAUUAAUUAGAAACUUAAUAAAAUUAAAUAUAAAACUAACGAUUAUUACAAUUUUAAUAUAAUGAAAAAAUGAAAUCAAAUUAAAGUAACAGUUUUCAAAUUUCAAAAAGUAACAGUUUAUAAAUUUCAAAAACUAACAGUUUAUUCAAAAUCGUGUAAAAACUAAUAUAUAAUUAAAAUGAAAUCAAAUUAAAGUAUAAUUUAAAUUUGAAAACUAAAAUAAAUUAAAACAAAAUCGAAUUAAAAUGAAAAAAAUCGAACAUACCUUCGCCGCCGUCAUUGCCGGUUGCCUGACCGGGUGCGAGUGGAGGUCGUCGGGGCGGCGCCAUGAUCGGACUUUGAGUGGAAUCUUGAGAGGAUAUUGUACCUCGACCUUCCAUAAUUAACAACAGAAAAUAUUAACUGAAAAUAUUAAAACCACGCCGGAAAAGCUUGAAUUGAGGCCGGAAAAACUUGAGCAGCUUGCUUGAAUUCAGACUUGAAGUAAG
rnacentral:lncRNA from 1 species